CAUUAACGAAUAUAAUUCGAGGGGUUGUCGCUGGCCUCGCUCGCGCGAGGCAUGUGCACGCUUCUCGUUUUUCUCUCAACUCACCUGUGCACCUAAUGUAGGAUGCCUCUCCUCCGGGAGGGGGGACCUAUGUCUUCGUAACAUCUUCGUGUAGAAAGUCUUUGAAUGUUUACUAUCAUCGAGUCGCGACUUCUAGGAGACGCGAUUCUUUGAGAUAAAAGUUAUUACAACUUUCAGCAACGGAUCUCUUGGCUCUCGCAUCGAUGAAGAACGCAGCGAAAAGCGAUAUGUAAUGUGAAUUGCAGAUCUACAGUGAAUCAUCGAAUCUUUGAACGCACCUUGCGCUCCUCGGUGUUCCGAGGAGCAUGCCUGUUUGAGUGUCAGUAAAUUCUCAACCCCUCUCGAUUAGCUUCGAGAGGGCGCUUGGAUAGUGGAGGUUGCCGGAGACUCGGAUUCGUCCGAGACUCGGGCUCUUCUGAAAUGCAUCGGCUUGCGGUCGACUUUCGACUAUGCGCGACAAGGCUUUCGGCGUGAUAAUGAUCGCCGUUCGCUGAAGCGCAUGACUGAACGUCCCGUGCCUCUAAUACGUCGACCGCUUAUUAUCUCUCCGGAGAGAACAGGGUCUUCCUUAUUGACUUUUGACCUCAAAUCAGGUAGGACUACCCGCUGAACUUAAGCAUAUCAAUAAGCGGAGGAAAAGAAACUAACAAGGAUUCCCCUAGUAACUGCGAGUGAAGAGGGAAAAGCUCAAAUUUU
rnacentral:rRNA from 1 species